AGGGAAUAUAACUUACCAAAUGUGACGCAGAAAGUGUGAAGCAACAAUUUAAAAAUAGGAUACGGUUAAAGGAACUUAUAACAGGGAUGUCAACUGAUGAUGUGAGAAAACUGUCUGAAAAUAACUGAAAGAGAGCUAGGAAUUGUGUUUGACUUAUGUGAAAUAAGUACAUCACCAUCACCAUAUAGAUACCAUCCCCCACAAGAACAGACUAGUCCAAGUUGGUAUAAGUGUGGCAAUUGUAGGGAGAUAUGACAACAGAAGUUGAGAGGAAAUGCUGUGACAACCUUCCACGGAACUGCAGUUCACAACAACCAGAAAUUGAAUGUUAGUACUGGACGAGCAUGUUUUGCGACUCGCAUACACAUACAGAAAGGACAGUUUGGAACUCCACAACUUGAUGCUUGGUUACUACAACAAGGCCAUGAGGCAUACAGCCUAUAGCCACUUUGUCUUAUUGAAAAAAGGUCGUCUGAGUGUGAUAUCACGCUGUUGUGUUUCGAGAAUCUGGUAUAAGUUUCCACACCAAUGUGGCAGUUACGUGGGUUUCACACGUGAUAGACUGGCUUAGUAGCUUAUUGUGGUUUAAAGACAACAUUCAAAGACUGAUUGGAAUCGACUUCGUUUCUUGGAAACCAGAACUUCUGUUGCCUCAGGUUCUAUCUCUGCAAUGGUUCUGGAUGUUCUUCUUGGAUCAUCCUGUGAGAUUGUCACUGGAUGUUGCAUGUUCAAAAUGCCUCAUCUAUUCUUUUGUGCAUGAUCUGUGUUAAUAAUUCAAGAAUGAACUGGUACAAUUUCCAAAACAGGCACCA